GUAAGGCAAGAGGUUCAAAUCAACUGAGUAAAGAAGUAAAGAAUCAAAGGAGUUAUUAAGGAAAUAAGUUCAAAUUAAGCCAAAGAAGGAACUUCAGAAUAAAAUAAUCAAGGGUAAAAUUAAGGAAAGAAUCAUGUAAAGAAUCAAUAAAUAUACACCAAUCAAAUAAGAUAAGAACGACUAAUUAAGGUCAUAAACACCGAAAUAAUCAAGCAUAGUGCGCACUAAUUUUUUAACACAACAAAUCACUCAAUAAUUCUGAAAAUUAUUAAAAAAAAAACUAAUUUGAAAACACUUAAAGACGGAAAAAAACCAUGAAAAACUUGAAGGCACGUCAACACAAAGAGAUUCGAACAACAAAAAUCAUAGAAACUGAAACCUGAAGUAGUGUAGUGCUUAAAACUGUUUAGUAGUGGAGAAUAAAAGAACCUAAAAGAAUAGCCAUUGAAGUUUGAAAACACUUCAGAUACCUAGAGGUUCGACCAACAAACAAGAAGAAAAAUAAACCCUAAUAUAACAAAAUCUUCAAAAAUUGAUUAAUCAGUAAAUAAAUUAAGGGUCCUUAAGGAAAAAGCUAUGACGAACACAAAUCGUUCCAGAUCUACAAGGAUCUACAAAUGCUAAGUUUUGAAGAAAUAGAAAGGGUAAAGAAAAUAUGGCCUUUGAUUCAAAGAUUUGAGCCAUGAAACUUUUAUAGAAAGCUCUUACAGACCAUAGGCAAACAGAUCAUAGACAGGAUCUUAAAGAGCCACAAAAUCAAGCAACCAUGGGAAAUAGGAGACAAGUAUAUGCCUCGUACAGCCAUGGGAAGCCAUAGAUCGAGUAGGAAUCAAAGGGAUUAGGGGUGAUCUUGGGUGACAGUAGAUAUGGUUAAGUUUGGUCUCAAACAGAAUUAGAGAGGAGAGGGUUUC
rnacentral:lncRNA from 1 species